CCCAGUCACGAUAGGUGUCGGAGCAGCUUCGGCCCUAAGAAAUUCACGAUAAUUGGCAAAUGAUGAGAAAACUGUUUGCCGCUGUAAUUAUAGGCACUUUUAUUGCGCCAACCGGUGCCUUGGGAGCGGUCACAAUUAUUUCUACUCCAACUGCGACAACGGUAUCUCUCACUCAGAAGACGAUCACUUUAGUUCCACCAACUAGUAACUCACCUGGAGCAUGGUCUAUCGAAAUCGAUAAUCCAAAGAUUGCAACCGCAAAUGGUUUAACGCUUACUUUGUUAUCUGCUGGUACAUCGAUAAUCAGAUUUGCGCAAGCGGCUUCGGGUGCAUACAACGCUGCUUCUCGCUCAACUCGACUUACACUUACACCAGGAAUUCCAACUUUGGGGGAAUUUAGAGAUCAGACUAUCCCGCUGUCUGCCGGUUCCUUCACAAUACUACCUCCAAUAGCGUGACUGGGAAAAGUAGGUGUGGGUAGGGGAGCGUCCCUCAUUCAGCGAAGCCGUCGGGUAACCGUAGGUGGAGGAUGGGGGAGUGAGAAUGCAGGCAUGAGUAGCGAAUAGGCAAGUGAGAACCUUGCCCGCCGAAAGACCAAGGGUUCCUGGGCCAGGCCAGUCCGCCCAGGGUGAGUCGGGACCUAAGGCGAGGCCGACAGGCGUAGUCGAUGGACAACGGGUUGAUAUUCCCGUACCCGCAAUAGAACGCCCAUGCUGAACCUAGUAGUGCUAAGAAUUUGAAGCAGGUGUCAACUUAGUUGCCAUCUGUGGAAGGUUCGAACCCAGCUUAUAACCGUUAUCAUCAAAGUCGUGACGCAGGAAGCUAAGUCAGGGGGCUUAAUGGAUUGCCCUCCACACCCGUAGCCAGAUUCUGUAGGCAAAUCCGCAGAGUCGUUAAAGCGAGAGGUUAUGGUGAGGAUCUACGGAUCCGAACUGAUUGAUGCUACACUGACGAGAAAACCGGCGUUGAGAGGUUAUGAGUUGCCAGUACCCGAAACCGACACAGGUAGGAUGGCAGAGAAUGCUAAGGUGCGCGAGCUAACUCUCUAUAAGGAACUCGGCAAAAUACUUCCGUAACUUCGGAAUAAGGAAGGCCAACAUUAAGUGUAAGCCCUGCGGCUGAAGCUGAAGUUGGUGACACAAACCAGUCCCAAGCAACUGUUUACCAAAAACACAGCUCUGUGCAAACUCGAAAGAGGAAGUAUACAGGGUGACGCCUGCCCGGUGCUGGAAGGUUAAGGGGAGGGGUUAGACGCAAGUCGAAGCUCUGAUCUAAAGCCCCAGUGAACGGCGGCCGUAACUAUAACGGUCCUAAGGUAGCGAAAUUCCUUGUCAGGUAAGUUCUGACCCGCACGAAAGGCGUAAUGAUUUGGGAACUGUCUCGUAGAGAGGCUCGGCGAAAUUGGAUUAGCUGUGAAGAUACGGCUUAGGCAUGCCAGGACAGAAAGACCCUAUUGAGCUUUACUGUAGGCUAUUAGUGAACGCGAGAUUAAGAUGCGUAGUAUAGUUGGGAGACUUUGAUCCAAGGAUUCUGGUUCUUGGGGAGUCAUCAGUGAAAUACCAAUCUUCUUAGUCUUUCGUUCUAACAGUUACCAUUAUCUGGUAAUUGGACACUGAUUGUCGGGCAGUUUGACUGGGGCGGUCACCUCCUAAAGAGUAACGGAGGUGUACAAAGGUUCUCUCAGGUUGGUCGGAAAUCAACCAUUGAGUGCAAAUGCAAAAGAGAGCUUGACUGCAAGAGAGACAUCUCGCGCAGGUACGAAAGUAGGUAUUAGUGAUCCGGCGAUUCCGCAUGGAAGGGUCGUCGCUCAUCGGAUAAAAGUUACCAUAGGGAUAACAGGCUGAUCUCCCCCAAGAGUCCACAUCGACGGGGAGGUUUGGCACCUCGAUGUCGGCUCGUCGCAUCCUGGAGCUGGAGUCGGUUCCAAGGGUUGGGCUGUUCGCCCAUUAAAGCGGUACGUGAGCUGGGUUCAGAACGUCGUGAGACAGUUUGGUCCAUAUCUGCUGUAGGCGUAGGAAAUUUGAGAGGAGCUGCUCUUAGUACGAGAGGACCGGAGUGGACACACCGCUGGUGUAUCAGUUAUCCUGCCAAGGGUAAAUGCUGAGUAGCUAUGUGUGGAAAGGAUAACCGCUGAAAGCAUCUAAGCGGGAAACUUGCCUCAAGAUGAGAUUUCCCAUCCUUUUAAAGGAGUAAGACCCCUUGUAGACUACGAGGUUGAUAGGCUGGGUGUGUAUCGUGACUGGGAAAC
rnacentral:rRNA from 1 species